UGCAGUCGAGCGAACAGAUAAGGAGCUUGCUCCUUUGACGUUAGCGGCGGACGGGUGAGUAACACGUGGAUAACCUACCUAUAAGACUGGGAUAACUUCGGGAAACCGGAGCUAAUACCGGAUAACAUAUUGAACCGCAUGGUUCAAUAGUGAAAGGCGGCUUUGCUGUCACUUAUAGAUGGAUCCGCGCCGUAUUAGCUAGUUGGUAAGGUAACGGCUUACCAAGGCAACGAUACGUAGCCGACCUGAGAGGGUGAUCGGCCACACUGGAACUGAGACACGGUCCAGACUCCUACGGGAGGCAGCAGUAGGGAAUCUUCCGCAAUGGGCGAAAGCCUGACGGAGCAACGCCGCGUGAGUGAUGAAGGUCUUCGGAUCGUAAAACUCUGUUAUCAGGGAAGAACAAAUGUGUAAGUAACUGUGCACAUCUUGACGGUACCUGAUCAGAAAGCCACGGCUAACUACGUGCCAGCAGCCGCGGUAAUACGUAGGUGGCAAGCGUUAUCCGGAAUUAUUGGGCGUAAAGCGCGCGUAGGCGGUUUUUUAAGUCUGAUGUGAAAGCCCACGGCUCAACCGUGGAGGGUCAUUGGAAACUGGAAA
rnacentral:rRNA from 1 species